GGUGGAUUAGUGGCGAACGGGUGAGUAACACGUGAGUAACCUGCCCUUAACUCUGGGAUAAGCCUGGGAAACUGGGUCUAAUACCGGAUAGGAGCGCCUACCGCAUGGUGGGUGUUGGAAAGAUUUAUCGGUUUUGGAUGGACUCGCGGCCUAUCAGCUUGUUGGUGAGGUAAUGGCUCACCAAGGCGACGACGGGUAGCCGGCCUGAGAGGGUGACCGGCCACACUGGGACUGAGACACGGCCCAGACUCCUACGGGAGGCAGCAGUGGGGAAUAUUGCACAAUGGGCGCAAGCCUGAUGCAGCGACGCCGCGUGAGGGAUGACGGCCUUCGGGUUGUAAACCUCUUUCAGUAGGGAAGAAGCGAAAGUGACGGUACCUGCAGAAGAAGCACCGGCUAACUACGUGCCAGCAGCCGCGGUAAUACGUAGGGUGCGAGCGUUAUCCGGAAUUAUUGGGCGUAAAGAGCUCGUAGGCGGUUUGUCGCGUCUGUCGUGAAAGUCCGGGGCUUAACCCCGGAUCUGCGGUGGGUACGGGCAGACUAGAGUGCAGUAGGGGAGACUGGAAUUCCUGGUGUAGCGGUGGAAUGCGCAGAUAUCAGGAGGAACACCGAUGGCGAAGGCAGGUCUCUGGGCUGUAA
rnacentral:rRNA from 1 species